UCUAUUGCCAAACACCUACUAAUUCGCUGCUUAUUAUAUAUAUUUCCCAAAAAAGGUAUAUUAGCAAAAAAUACAUGUUUAUUGAAUUUGGAUUCGAAAAUUAUUUUCAGUUUGCUUCAUAAAGUAACAUUAGAAUGAGUUGAUGGACCCGCAAGGGUGGCUCAGUUGGUUGAGCAUGGGGCUUUCAUAAUGAAGGUCUCAGGUUCGAAACCCCCUGCCUACGCUAGCAGGGGAUUUGCCUUCUGGGUCGAGCUCGUCACACGGGGCUUGCCUAGUGCGGGUUAUCUCUCUUGUGUGGUUUGCGAGCUAUUACAUAAGAGCUGGGUUUACCCUGUGCGCACCCGAAGGGCAGCGGCUGCGGGUUCCCAUAUCAUCAAAAAAAAAAAAAAAAAAAAAAAAAAGAAUGAGCUGAUGCAUAGAAUCAUAUCUAGAAGUCAUUGGAGUUACAUGUAACAAACUAAAACAUGGGUGGUUAAAACGCACACUGCUUUUCAUAUUUGUAAACCUAAUGCAAAAUAUAUUAGGGUUUCCACCCAACUGCCGCUUCUUCACCAUCUAUUUGUAGUUCCUGUCUCUAAAGCUUAUGAAAUUUUGUAGGAAGUGGAAAGGGGAUGAGUGUUUCGGGGAGCUUUUGGAUUGGGUGGCGUGGCAAGAUUUCAUAUUUAUGUUUUAUAAAAAUUGAAGUCUUGCCAAUACCGCCCAUUCCAAUGGCUUCCCAUCAUUUCUCCCUUUCCUUUUUCUCCAGUGCUUAAUGGGUUUCUUGGCGUACACUUGUUCAAGUGUUGUUUCUGAUGCGUCAAUCCUGGCUGUUGCUAUUCUCAUGCUAUUUUUUUCUUGAUCAGGAAUUUGGCAGUAGCACUAGCAGGAGCAUCACCAGUUCAUUGCAUUAAUCAACCUUACCUUAACUUCUUAUGCUUUACCAACUACAUCUCAGUGGGUGCUUUGAAAGAUUUGGAGUUUUGGACCAGGUAAGUCAUAUUCUCUUUGAAUGUACCCUUGGUGGACGAGAGCUUAUUGUGCGAACUGCAAAGGUUAUAGUGCAGCUGAGAAAUGCAGAGCAAAGGUCUAAGCUCUUAGCAGAGGUUCUUUUGCCCCCUUGAAAACCAUCAAAUGUAAUCUCCAUUGGUCUAUUUUUUCUUCUUACAUCUGAUAAAAUAAGUACCAAGUUCUAUGUGCAAAUAAUUGAGAGUUGUUGAAGAAAACCUCAUUUUCUGCUGUUUCUUGGUUAUUGUUAUGGCCUUAUUGUGGCCUUUUUAUGAUGAGAGUAGUAAUCUUGUUAAAGGGACUAUGAGUACACAGUUAGUCGGGUGAUGGCAAAGAGACCCCGUCAACCUAAAUGGGAGGUCAUGACCCAAAUUUCACUAAGCCGUGAUGGCACCUAGCAGAAUCUGUUUGGCGAAUCAAUCAACACGAAUAUACCCAAAAAAAGAGACAAUAUCACAAAAAUAUAGUUCGUGUUGGAACCUGAGGAGCUCGGGUGAUUUCCUUGUGCCAAGGUUUUACCGGAAACCGCCUGCCUCCCUACCUCUCAAGGUAGGGGUAAGGUCAUGCGUACACUCUACCCUCUCCAAACCCCAUUAUGUGGGAUUUCACUGGGUAUGUUGUUGUAUUGUUUAAGCUUCACAUGUUCAGGAUGCACUACAGUGUUUUGAGAACUGUCCUGGUAAGAUGAGAAGGCCGAGUCUAUGAACUUGUUGGAUCAUUUGAUAGUGAGAUAUUUGGUGUAGGACCUGUUGAGGGUGGUCCAACAAUUGAUCCGUGAUUUCUAGAUCAUUUCGGCUCUGUUCAGCUGGGGUGAGCCAUCACUAGUGCAGGCCAUUCCAGUUCUAUCUUAUCUUUCUUAUUUUGGACCAUGCCCAGGCAGUUGUAUCAGUAUUCUAUAGUCGCUCCAUGACUUAUAGUG